GACGAACGCUGGCGGCGUGCCUAAUACAUGCAAGUCGAGCGGAACCAUUGGAGCUUGCUCCAUUUGGUUUAGCGGCGGACGGGUGAGUAACACGUGGGCAACCUGCCCUGCAGAUCGGGAUAACUCCGGGAAACCGGUGCUAAUACCGAAUAGUUUGCGGCCUCUCCUGAGGCUGCACGGAAAGACGGUUUCGGCUGUCACUGCAGGAUGGGCCCGCGGCGCAUUAGCUAGUUGGUGGGGUAAUGGCCCACCAAGGCGACGAUGCGUAGCCGACCUGAGAGGGUGAUCGGCCACACUGGGACUGAGACACGGCCCAGACUCCUACGGGAGGCAGCAGUAGGGAAUCUUCCGCAAUGGACGCAAGUCUGACGGAGCAACGCCGCGUGAGUGACGAAGGUUUUCGGAUCGUAAAACUCUGUUGUGAGGGAAGAACACGUACCAGGUAACUACUGGUACCUUGAC
rnacentral:rRNA from 1 species